GUCAGGGUUAGGGUAAAGGUUAAGGUUAGAGUCAGGGGUAGGGUUAAGGUUAAGGUUAGAGUCAGGGUUAGGGUUACGGUUAAGGUUAGAGUCAGGGGUAGGGUUAGGGUUAAGGUUAGAGUCAGGGCUUGGGUUAGGGUUAAGAUUAAGGUUAGAGUCAGGGGUGGGGUUAGGGUAAAGGUUAAGGUUAGAGUCAGGGCUUGGGUUAGGGUUAAGGUUAAGGUUAGAGUCAGGGGUAGGGUUAGGGUUAAGGUUAGAGUCAGGGGUGGGGUUAGGGUAAAGGUUAAGGUUAGAGUCAGGGGUAGGGUUAGGGAAAAGGUUAAGGUUAGAGUCAGGGGUAGGGUUAGGGUAAAGGUUAGAGUCAGGGGUAGGGUUAGGGUAAAGGUUAAGGUUAGAGUCAGGGGUAGGGUUACGGUUAAGGUUAGAGUCAGGGCUUGGGUUAGGGUAAAGGUUAAGGUUAGAGUCAGGGCUUGGGUUAGGGUUAAGGUUAAGGUUAGAGUCAGG
ensembl:lncRNA